AGUGAACGCUGGCGGCAGGCCUAACACAUGCAAGUCGAGCGGCAGCGCGUCCGACCACCCUCGGGUGGUCGGAUGGCGGCGAGCGGCGGACGGGUGAGGAAUGCAUCGGAAUCUGCCUCGUUGUGGGGGAUAACGUAGGGAAACUUACGCUAAUACCGCAUACGACCUACGGGUGAAAGUGGGGGACCUUCGGGCCUCACGCGAUGAGAUGAGCCGAUGCCGGAUUAGCUAGUUGGCGGGGUAAAGGCCCACCAAGGCGACGAUCCGUAGCUGGUCUGAGAGGAUGAUCAGCCACGACUGGAACUGAGGACACGGUCCAGACUCCUACGGGAGGCAGCAGUGGGGAAUAUUGGACAAUGGGGGCAACCCUGAUCCAGCCAUGCCGCGUGUGUGAGAAGGCCUCGGUUGUG
rnacentral:rRNA from 1 species